GACGAACGCUGGCGGCGUGCCUAAUACAUGCAAGUCGAGCGCAGGAAAUCGACGGAACCCUUCGGGGGGAAGUCGACGGAAUGAGCGGCGGACGGGUGAGUAACACGUAAAGAACCUGCCCUCAGGUCUGGGAUAACCACGAGAAAUCGGGGCUAAUACCGGAUGGGUCAUCGGACCGCAUGGUCCGAGGAUGAAAGGCGCUUCGGCGUCGCCUGGGGAUGGCUUUGCGGUGCAUUAGCUAGUUGGUGGGGUAAUGGCCGACCAAGGCGACGUUGCAUAGCCGACCUGAGAGGGUGAUCGGCCAAACUGGGACUGGGACACGGCCUAGACUCCUACGGGAGGCAGCAGUAGGGAAUCUUCCACAAUGGACGAAAGUCUGAUGGAGCAACGCCGCGUGAACGAUGAAGGCCUUCGGGUCGUAAAGUUCUGUUGUGAGGGAAGAACAAGUGCCGCAGGCAAUGGCGGCACCUUGACGGUACCUUGCGAGAAAGCCACGGCUAACUACGUGCCAGCCGCCGCCGUAA
rnacentral:rRNA from 1 species